rnacentral:rRNA from 1 species
CCUACGGGUGGCAGCAGUGGGGAAUAUUGGGCAAUGGAGGAAACUCUGACCCAGCAACGCCGCGUGAAUGAUGAAGGUCUUCGGAUUGUAAAGUUCUUUUCUAAGGGAAGAAGAAAGUGACGGUACCUUAGGAAUAAGCCUCGGCUAACUACGUGCCAGCAGCCGCGGUAAUACGAAGGGGGCAAGUGUUAUCCGGAUUUACUGGGUGUAAAGGGAGCGUAGACGGGGCGCCAAGUCUGGAGUGAAAUGCCGCAGCUUAAAUGCGGAACUGCUUUGGAAACUGGCGAACUAGAGUGCGGGAGAGGUAGGCGGAAUGCGUGGUGUAGCGGUGAAAUGCGUAGAUAUUAGGAAGAACACCGGUGGCGAAGGCGGCUUACUGGACCGUAACUGACGUUGAGGCUCGAAAGCGUGGGGAGCGAACAGGAUUAGAUACCCUUGUAGUC